UUCCAUUAAAACGUUACAUUCGCCGUUGGAAGUUUCCCAAACAUCUGUAAGAUUAUUAAUUCCUUGGCACCAUUUGUAAACAAGAAGAGGUGGAGGUUCUGAAUCAGAAGGCUUUACCCAGGAAGGAAAUAGGUGUCGACGAUCGGCCUCAAACCAAAGGUAUUGAUCGAGAUAAGCAUCACAAAUUUUCUCCAUCGGAUCUACAGAAUAAACAGG